UGGAGCUCGAGUGGGUGUCCUGUACAUUUCAUGCUGGAAGCUAUUUUAAAAGCAAUCUUUAAACUGCUGUAGUUGUCUUGUCAGUAGCCUGAAUAGAAAAACAAGACAACCUAUUGGAACGGAACGGUUUCAGGAGAGAGGAUGUGGGCUUCAGAUACUGAAAAGUAUCAAAUAUAUCGUGAAAUAGAACAAUUGGUUACAAUAUAACCCCGGUUCUCUGAGUAAAGAGACUACCUGUCCAGCUCCAUAUAUAUGGAAUAUACAGGCUGCACAGGGAUUCUUGACUGCAUUUGGUUACAUUGCAACUCGGGUUCUCUGAGUGGACGCACACGGCCGACAUAUUCCAUAUAUACAGAGCUAGAGAGAUGCUCUGGACACAGUGGGGAGCCGUGUCCUCUGCUGUCUCUCUGGGGAGGAAAAAUGUCAAUCAGCAGUGUCUGUUUGACGCAGACAUAAAAACGUGCUGUAGGUCACAUUCAGCUUUUCCAAUAUCAGAAUUUGAGAUAAACGAUCACAGAGGAAUGAAGCAGCUUAAAGGUUCUUUAUUUUCCAUUUCAAUCCACGUGAGUCUUAUUAUUAUUUUUAGGUUUAAUGAAAUUUUAAUCUGUUUUUGUCACUCGAGCUCAUUUUGAUGACUUUACAGUUUGUAAGAAAAAACCUGGCGGGUACAUUUUAGCCCGUUCGGGUUUGAGUUUCUGUUGACUGUGUUCUGUAUUUAUUGUUGAAGACGUUUCGUCAGCCUUGUCUUAAAUCUCUGUGCCUGCCUGACAGAAGAGCGAUGCUGUGGCAGCUGUGGAGGCACAGCUGUGGUUUGUUCCUCUGCACGCGUGUGGACGUCAGAGUUUGUUGAUCCAAAACGAGCUGGUGUCUGAAGCUGUGAUCACGGGCUCGACUAGGAGCAGGUUUUUGUGUAUAUUAUGUAUAUUAUUGUACAUGCUGGUCGCCGCCCUCCUACACGUGUCCGUUAUGUGUAUUUCUGUAUAUACACUUAAAAUACACACGUGUGUAUGUACAAUCUGGUACUGUUUCACCUUCCUGAAUGCAGUCUUGGCAGAAAUCACAAUCGUUCAUCAUUUGCUGUGUAAAUGAAGGUAUUUAACCAGCGGCGGCUCUCUGCCGGUCGGCUCUCUGGUCGCAGGUUCACUGAGUUCAUGGAUGAAAUGAUCCACUUGUUUCAGUUGGUUAAACCAAAGAGGCGUUCAGCUGACGGGGCUCGGUGUCGUGCUUUCUAACAUUCACACUCCGAUGGAUGCAUUGGGGUUAGUAGUAAAGCCAGGAAUCGAACCACCAGCCUUCCGAUCAGUAGAUGACCUGCUCUACCGCCUGAGCUACAGCUCAUGUGCCGCCUCAUCUCAAAUAUCGCUUUAGUCACAAACGAUUAUUUACAUUUUUAUUCAGCUGAUAUGUAGUGUGUGAGUUUCUUGUAUUUUUGGACUGACGCUCACGAGUUUGGCACAACAAGCAAGUUCACAGGUUCAUCAGCCAGCUUACUCUGGUGGUUACUUAACAGGUGAGACUCGAUCAUGAAGAUCAUCUCAGCUGAAAAAGCCACUUAAGCUUUUCGGGACGUUUCCUCCGGUCUGCAUUUCUGUUUUCAGCUCGUGUUCGAGUGCUUCGCUUCUGCUCCAGGUCCGAGACUUUAACGAAACCUCAGCGGGGAGAUGAAGGCUGCCUUGUGGAUCAACUCGAGUCUUAAACGUUGCUUCGCUGUAGUCUCGUUUCUGCUUUCCGACGUGGAGGCCGGUCGGUGGCGUCCCUGUGGACGGUGUGUGUGGAAACAUUUUGAAAUGCAUUUGUUGGACCUGUAACGUGUAAAUACUUGUUUUAUUUCCUCUGCCAACUUUACACUAGUCACUUUGGAUAGUAGCAUACUUGAAAGGGAAAAUGAAUGUUCAGAAUGCGUCUUUGUUGUCAUGUGAACUUUAGUGUCUAAUGACGUUUGUAGCACACAGCAAAACUGAUGCUUUUUUGUACCGUUUAUUUUAUUCACUUUGCGACUGUUAGAAUGACCUGCGGACACAAACUGCUGAAUUAGAAACAUUUAGUAAUAAAAAGUCUUGAAAUA
ensembl:lncRNA